GAAGCGGUGAAUUCAAGCCCCGGUAAACGGCGGUGGUAACUAUAACCAUCCUAAGGUAGCGAAAUUCCUUGUCGGGUAAGUUCCGACCUGCACGAAUGGCGUAAUGAUGGCCAGGCUGUCUCCACCCGAGACUCAGUGAAAUUGAACUCGCUGUGAAGAUGCAGUGUACCCGCGGCAAGACGGAAAGACCCCGUGAACCUUUACUAUAGCUUGACACUGAACACUGGUCCUUGAUGUGUAGGAUAGGUGGGAGGCUUUGAAGUGUGGACGCCAGUCUGCAUGGAGCCAUCCUUGAAAUACCACCCUUUAAUGGCUGGUGUUCUAACGUGGGCCCGUUAUCCGGGUUGCGGACAGUGUCUGGUGGGUAGUUUGACUGGGGCGGUCUCCUCCUAAAGAGUAACGGAGGAGCACGAAGGUCAGCUAAUCCUGGUCGGACAUCAGGAGGUUAGUGCAAUGGCAUAAGCUGGCUUGACUGCGAGCGUGACGGCGCGAGCAGGUGCGAAAGCAGGUCAUAGUGAUCCGGUGGUUCUGAAUGGAAGGGCCAUCGCUCAACGGAUAAAAGGUACUCCGGGGAUAACAGGCUGAUACCGCCCAAGAGUUCAUAUCGACGGCGGUGUUUGGCACCUCGAUGUCGGCUCAUCACAUCCUGGGGCUGAAGUAGGUCCCAAGGGUAUGGCUGUUCGCCAUUUAAAGUGGUACGCGAGCUGGGUUUAGAACGUCGUGAGACAGUUCGGUCCCUAUCUGCCGUGGGCGCUGGAGAAUUGAGGGGGGCUGCUCCUAGUACGAGAGGACCGGAGUGGACGCAUCACUGGUGUUCGGGUUGUCAUGCCAAUGGCAUUGCCCGGUAGCUAAAUGCGGAAGAGAUAAGUGCUGAAAGCAUCUAAGCACGAAACUUGCCCCGAGAUGAGUUCUCCCUGACUCCUUGAGAGUCCUGAAGGAACGUUGAAGACGACGACGUUGAUAGGCCGGGUGUGUAAGCGCAGCGAUGCGUUGAGCUAACCGGUACUAAUGAACCGUGAGGCUUAACCUU
rnacentral:rRNA from 1 species